AUGCACGCUGGCGGCGUGCCUCAUCCCUGCAAGUCGCGCGAACAGACGAGGAGCUUGCUCCUCUGACGUUAGCGGCGGACGGGUGAGUAACACGUGGAUAACCUACCUAUAAGACUGGGAUAACUUCGGGAAACCGGAGCUAAUACCGGAUAAUAUAUUGAACCGCAUGGUUCAAUAGUGAAAGACGGUUUUGCUGUCACUUAUAGAUGGAUCCGCGCCGCAUUAGCUAGUUGGUAAGGUAACGGCUUACCAAGGCAACGAUGCGUAGCCGACCUGAGAGGGUGAUCGGCCACACUGGAACUGAAACACGGUCCAGACUCCUACGGGAGGCAGCAGUAGGGAAUCUUCCGCAAUGGGCGAAAGCCUGACGGAGCAACGCCGCGUGAGUGAUGAAGGUCUUCGGAUCGUAAAACUCUGUUAUUAGGGAAGAACAAAUGUGUAAGUAACUAUGCACGUCUUGACGGUACCUAAUCAGAAAGCCACGGCUAACUACGUG
rnacentral:rRNA from 1 species